rnacentral:rRNA from 1 species
AUUGAACGCUGGCGGAAUGCUUUACACAUGCAAGUCGAACGGCAGCACGGGGGCAACCCUGGUGGCGAGUGGCGAACGGGUGAGUAAUACAUCGGUACGUGCCCAGUCGUGGGGGAUAACUACGCGAAAGCGUAGCUAAUACCGCAUACGAUCUACGGAUGAAAGCGGGGGAUCGCAAGACUCCGCGCGAUUGGAGUGGCCGAUGGCAGGUUAGGUAGUUGGUGAAGUAAAGGCUCACCAAGCCUGCGAUCUGUAGCUGGUCUGAGAGGACGACCCGCCACAGUGGGACUGAGACACGGCCCAGACUCCUACGGGAGGCAGCAGUGGGGAAUUUUGGACAAUGGGCGCAAGCCUGAUCCAGCCAUUCCGCGUGCAGGAUGAAGGCCCUCGGGUUGUAAACUGCUUUUGUACGGAACGAAACGCGCUGAGUUAAUACCUCGGCGUAAUGACGGUACCGUAAGAAUAAGCACCGGCUAACUACGUGCCAGCCGCCGCCGUAA